rnacentral:rRNA from 1 species
CCUACGGGAGGCAGCAGUGGGGGAUAUUGGACAAUGGGGGGAACCCUGAUCCAGCGACGCCGCGUGAGUGAAGAAGUAUUUCGGUAUGUAAAGCUCUGUCAGCAGGGAAGAAAGAAAUGACGGUACCUGACCAAGAACCCCCGGCUAACGCCGUGCCAGCAGCGGCGGUAAUACGUAGGGGGCAGGUGUUAUCCGGAAUUAGUGGGCGGAAAGGGGGCGCAGACGGUUAAGUAAGUCUGUAGUGAAAGCCCGGGGCCCAACCCCGGAACUGUACUGGAAACUAUUGAACUUGAGUGCAGGAGAGGUAAGCGGAAUUCCUAGUGUAGCGGUGAAAUGCGUAGAUAUUAGGAGGAACAC